CGCCUCGCCCUAGUGUGAAUAAAGGCUCCGUAAGGGUGCGGCCGCCCGGGAAAGCCGUCCACCAGCUCUGGCCCAGGGGCCAGAAGCCUCUCCCUCGCCCACCCCGCCGCUGUUGCCGCUCCAGGAGGGCGCCCCGGGACGCGCGUGGCCCCUCCACACCCAGCAUGGGGCUUGAACUCACCACCCUGGGAUCAAGAGUCUGAUGCACCACCAACUGAGCCAGCCAGGUGCCCCUGUUGCUAAUCAUGUGGAAGUGGGACCAGCCUGCUGUGGGGAGCCUCUGGAUGUCACACACAAAGAUGAGGAACUGCACAUGGCACAGAGCCUGGGGCCACAAUGAAUGAGGAGUUUACAGGGCCAGCGAGGACCAUCACUUUUCCUGGCCUACCCAGUUCCCCGUCCUCAGCCCUACCACUCUGCAUGUUCUAGAGAAUGGAAGUCUGUGGUCAAGUUGCGGGCAGCUUGGUUCCCCUGAGACGUCUCUCUUGGACUCCCAUGUGGCAGCCUUCCUGCUCUGUCCUCACGUGGCCUCUCCUCUGUGUGCACUCACUUCUGAUGUCCCUUACCCUUCUCAGAAGGCACCCAUCCAGUUGAAUCAGGACCCCACUGUUAGGAGCUCAUUCAUCCUUAAUUAUCCCCUUAAAGUCCCCGUCUCCAAAAACAGUUCCCCUGGGGGGGGUGGGGGUGGGUAGGGCUUCAACUAUGACUUUUGGGUGGGGGGACAGUGGAUUCCAUAACAGAGACUAACUUUGAUGGGAGCCACUUAGCAAACACAGAUGGUCUAAUUACAGAGAAUAACAUUUAAAAGCUCAGGAAAUAACUCCAUGUGCUCAGCACAUCCUGUUGCUCAGCUUCAGGACUUACCCACUAACUUCCCCACCUCUUGAACACCCUCUGCUCCUUGUUUUAGUGGAGUGGACUUCAGGCUGAGUUCUGGCCUCUCUCCCCUAUUACAACAGCCUUCAGUAAAGUCUUCUUUGCCUGCUCAA